AGUGAACGCUGGCGGUAGGCCUAACACAUGCAAGUCGAACGGCAGCACAGUAAGAGCUUGCUCCUACGGGUGGCGAGUGGCGGACGGGUGAGGAAUACAUCGGAAUCUACUUUUUCGUGGGGGAUAACGUAGGGAAACUUACGCUAAUACCGCAUACGACCUACGGGUGAAAGCAGGGGCUCUUCGGACCUUGCGCGAUUGAAUGAGCCGAUGUCGGAUUAGCUAGUUGGCGGGGUAAAGGCCCACCAAGGCGACGAUCCGUAGCUGGUCUGAGAGGAUGAUCAGCCACACUGGAACUGAGACACGGUCCAGACUCCUACGGGAGGCAGCAGUGGGGAAUAUUGGACAAUGGGCGCAAGCCUGAUCCAGCCAUACCGCGUGGGUGAAGAAGGCCUUCGGGUUGUAAAGCCCUUUUGUUGGGAAAGAAAAGCAGCAGGUUAAUACCCCGCUGUUCUGACGGUACCCAAAGAAUAAGCACCGGCUAACUUCGUG
rnacentral:rRNA from 1 species